UCUCAAUCUUUCUUUCUUUCUUUCUUUCUUUCUUUUUUAAGAAAAACUAUAAAUAUUAUUUCUAUAGUUUAAUAUGUAUCAGUUUAGUGUUUUGUGGUUUCAUUUUUAUCUUUUUAAAGAUUGGAUGUAAAUCUUAUAUCCUCUCAUUCAAAAGUUCAAAUAUUUUUUUCCGAACUCUUAAUAUUAAUAAAAAAGAUUGAUAUAUAAGAUCAGUGUAAAAAGGUUAGCUCUUGGACGAAGAAAAUAUAAAAUUUAUAUUCACUUUUAGAUAC
rnacentral:lncRNA from 1 species